GACAGAGGGUGCAAACGUUGUUCGGAAUUACUGGGCGUAAAGCGCGUGUAGGCGGCUCUUCAAGUCAGGCGUGAAAGCCCCGGGCUCAACUCGGGAACUGCGCUUGAUACUGUCGAGCUAGAGUGUGGAAGGGGCGAUUGGAAUUCCGUGUGUAGCGGUGAAAUGCGUAGAUAUACGGAGGAACACCAGAGGCGAAGGCGGAUCGCUGGGCCAACACUGACGCUGAGACGCGAAAGCUAGGGUAGCAAACGGG
rnacentral:rRNA from 1 species